rnacentral:lncRNA from 1 species
AUACACAUUACCUGGAAACACAAAGCUGCAUGCUGAUGAAGAAAGUUUUCAUGGACUUUGUGUCCACAUCUCUUCACUCCAAAGAGAGAGCAAAGACCAUAGGGCCCAGCUGUAGAGUACCAAUUGCUGCUGUCCCUUGGAGCACCUGUGAUGGUCAGGUGAGACUUGAUGAAGCAGCCUGUUUUGUUUUUUGCCAGCCACAAAAACCCUGCAUUAAAUUGAGUGAAGGUGUAGCUAGAAUGCCCGAGGGCACAAAUGCAGUUGUUCAGGAAAAAGAGAGAGGUGCUCAUGUUGCUCCAAGACAGUCAAGAUGUUGGUGGUUCUGGGCACUUCUUUAGUCAUACACGUGAGCAGUGUUAAACAUUUACACUUCUAUUAAACAUUGCAUGGAUCAGAAAAAAAGCCCUGUCUGAGGACACAGAUAAAUGCUGAUGUAGCCAUGCAGAGAAAGUAGAAGUCAGUGCUCUCGGGGCCAGCUGGCUCCAAUGUUUGUUGUCCCCAAACAUUCACAACAGCCAUCUGCAAACACACUUAGAAGAGGGGAGGUCCAUGGCUUUGAGCAGCUGGACUAUCCCAUACACCUUCCUAGCUUAUUGCCAGCUGGUGAAACAAGGGGUAAGACGUCUCCUGAAGUGUGUUACGGCUUGCACUGGGGCUUUAGUGUUCUGAUCAUGCAGUUGGGGCCCCUGCUUCAGCAUGGCACUAAGAAAAGCAGAGCAGAAGAGGUAGUUAACAUGUAACUUGUUUUUUCUUCCCUCCACAAAUGAACUUGGCAGCAGUUCAGAAAUAGUCCUACAUUCAAGGGCUUUCUUUGAGCCUUGGUUCAGUCACAACAGGGGAAGAACCCUGGGCACUGGACCCCAUCGUGCCGCUGCAGGGCCAGCUGAAGCAAAAGAGAGCAGGAAAGAGAUGGUGCUGUAAAGCACCAAAGCAAGCAUUGAGGCUAAUUCUGGAUUCCCUGGGUGACUCUGAGGUGAACCAAAACACGCCUCAGUACAGUGAGAAAACAGUGUCAGAGACACAAGCACAAAUCUUUUUGCCAUUCAACAUUCCUCUGUAUUAGUGAAAUCUUGUUGAAAGUCAGCAUGGAUUGAUUUUUGAAACGCUUUCAAAAUCUGCUUCUCUUUGCUUCCAUUAUCCUCAUGAGGUGCCUUGAAGAAGAGGUUCAUGAUCCUACCAGGGAGGUCAGCAGAGGUUCUCCAAGCCAGCAGUUGGUCCACCCCAGGGCCUGCUUCUGGAGACAGUGUGUAAAGCAUGCCUACACUACUACUUUGUUUUACACCU